rnacentral:tRNA from 2 species
GGAGUGAUGGCCGAGUUGGUCGAAGGCGCUCGCCUGCUAAGCGAGUAUACGGUUGUUAAGACCGUAUCGAGGGUUCGAAUCCCUCUCACUCCG